UAAGGCCCUUAUCAAAGCCAUUUCAGUAGUCACUAAUGUGACAAGUCUAAAAGGAGCCAAUAUUGAACCUUCCCAUUACAGUCGUUGCUUAGUUUGUGUCUGUAGCUAAUUGGCAACUACACCA